UACAGAGGGGGCAAGCGUUGUUCGGAAUUACUGGGCGUAAAGGGCGCGUAGGCGGCCUUCUAAGUCGAACGUGAAAUCCCCUGGCUCAACCCGGGAACUGCGUCCGAUACUGGAAGGCUUGAAUCCGGGAGAGGGAUGCGGAAUUCCAGGUGUAGCGGUGAAAUGCGUAGAUAUCUGGAGGAACACCGGUGGCGAAGGCGGCAUCCUGGACCGGCAUUGACGCUGAGGCGCGAAAGCCAGGGGAGCAAACGGG
rnacentral:rRNA from 1 species